rnacentral:rRNA from 1 species
UAUGUGCAUGCAAUACGGUGGAUGUGAUGAGGUUGGAUGCAUUAUGAGGGGAAUUUACAAUUUCUGCCAUGCUAACAAGCAAGAAACAAUUUCUUCCGGGGAUGCUCAAACGGUGAUCAAUCACAUGGUGGCGAGGCAAGAGCAAGAUUCAGAUUUUUUCCUCAGGUACUUGGUUGAUGAAGCUGGCCAUCUAAAGGGACUGUUCUGGUGUGAUAGUCAACCUGACUUGACUACGAGGCUUUCAGAGACAUUAUUGUUUUUGAUAGCACAUACAGAACCAAUAAGUACAAUCUGCCACUUUUGCCGUUUGUCGGGUUGA